rnacentral:rRNA from 1 species
GACGAACGCUGGCGGCGUGCCUAAUACAUGCAAGUAGAACGCUGAAGGAGGAGCUUGCUUCUCUGGAUGAGUUGCGAACGGGUGAGUAACGCGUAGGUAACCUGCCUGGUAGCGGGGGAUAACUAUUGGAAACGAUAGCUAAUACCGCAUAAGAGUAGAUGUUGCAUGACAUUUGCUUAAAAGGUGCAAUUGCAUCACUACCAGAUGGACCUGCGUUGUAUUAGCUAGUUGGUGGGGUAACGGCUCACCAAGGCGACGAUACAUAGCCGACCUGAGAGGGUGAUCGGCCACACUGGGACUGAGACACGGCCCAGACUCCUACGGGAGGCAGCAGUAGGGAAUCUUCGGCAAUGGACGGAAGUCUGACCGAGCAACGCCGCGUGAGUGAAGAAGGUUUUCGGAUCGUAAAGCUCGGUUGUAAGAGAAGAACGAGUGUGAGAGUGGAAGGUUCACACUGUGACGGUAUCUUACCAGAAAGGGACGGCUAACUACGUG